GCGGCAACAGCUCAAAUUUGAAAUCUGGCCCCCCGGCCCGAGUUGUAAUUUGUAGAGGAUGCUUCUGGGUAGCGACCGGUCUAAGUUCCUUGGAACAGGACGUCAUAGAGGGUGAGAAUCCCGUAUGCGACCGGCCCGCGCCCUCCACGUAGCUCCUUCGACGAGUCGAGUUGUUUGGGAAUGCAGCUCUAAAUGGGAGGUAAAUUUCUUCUAAAGCUAAAUACCGGCCAGAGACCGAUAGCGCACAAGUAGAGUGAUCGAAAGAUGAAAAGCACUUUGGAAAGAGAGUUAAAAAGCACGUGAAAUUGUUGAAAGGGAAGCGCUUACAACCAGACUUUGGGGCGGUGUUCCGCCGGUCUUCUGACCGGUCUACUCUCCGUCCCGAGGCCAACAUCAUCUGGGACCGCCGGACAAGACCUCAGGAAUGUAGCUCCCCCUCGGGGGAGUGUUAUAGCCUGUGGUGAUGCGGCGCGUCCCGGGUGAGGUCCGCGCUUCGGCAAGGAUGUUGGCGUAAUGGUUGUCAGCGGCCCGUCUUGAAACACGGACCAAGGAGUCUAACAUCUAUGCGAGUGUUCGGGUGUCAAACCCCUACGCGGAAUGAAAGUGAACGGAGGUGGGAAGGGUAACCUGCACCAUCGACCGAUCCUGAUGUCCUCGGAUGGAUUUGAGUAAGAGCAUAGCUGUUGGGACCCGAAAGAUGGUGAACUAUGCCUGAAUAGGGUGAAGCCAGAGGAAACUCUGGUGG
rnacentral:rRNA from 1 species